AUGAACGCUGGCGGCGUGCCUAAUCCAUGCAAGUCGCGCGAACAGAUAAGGAGCUUGCUCCUUUGACGUUAGCGGCGGACGGGUGAGUAACACGUGGAUAACCUACCUAUAAGACUGGGAUAACUUCGGGAAACCGGAGCUAAUACCGGAUAACAUAUUGAACCGCAUGGUUCAAUAGUGAAAGGCGGCUUUGCUGUCACUUAUAGAUGGAUCCGCGCCGUAUUAGCUAGUUGGUAAGGUAACGGCUUACCAAGGCAACGAUACGUAGCCGACCUGAGAGGGUGAUCGGCCACACUGGAACUGAGACACGGUCCAGACUCCUACGGGAGGCAGCAGUAGGGAAUCUUCCGCAAUGGGCGAAAGCCUGACGGAGCAACGCCGCGUGAGUGAUGAAGGUCUUCGGAUCGUAAAACUCUGUUAUCAGGGAAGAACAAAUGUGUAAGUAACUGUGCACAUCUUGACGGUACCUGAUCAGAAAGCCACGGCUAACUACGUG
rnacentral:rRNA from 1 species